UACGUAGGUGGCAAGCGUUGUCCGGAAUUAUUGGGCGUAAAGCGCGCGCAGGUGGUUUCUUAAGUCUGAUGUUAAAGCCCACGGCUCAACCGUGGAGGGUCAUUGGAAACUGGGGAACUUGAGUGCAGAAGAGGAAAGUGGAAUUCCAAGUGUAGCGGUGAAAUGCGUAGAGAUUUGGAGGAACACCAGUGGCGAAGGCGACUUUCUGGUCUGUAACUGACACUGAGGCGCGAAAGCGUGGGGAGCGAACAGG
rnacentral:rRNA from 1 species